rnacentral:rRNA from 1 species
GAACUUCUCGUGAGUUGGUUAGUCUUUUUUCCUCCGAUACAAAGAUCUUCUAACUCGGUAGGAAAGUUCAUUGAACCUUAUCAUUUAGAGGAAGGAGAAGUCGUAACAAGGUUUCCGUAGGUGAACCUGCGGAAGGAUCAUUG